rnacentral:lncRNA from 1 species
CCCCAUCACUGUGAGUAACAGAUUUGCAGCAGUUUCUGGUAGUAAAGAUGACCCUCUAGGGGAGGUAGAGGGAUCAACAUCAACAUCUUACCAAUGAAGUGGUUAGUAUGGAAUAUUAGGGGUGUAAAUAAAAGGUACAAAAAGAAAGAGGUUAGGGAAUAUAUUUGAAAAAACAAUAUUAACCUAGUUGGAUUAGUAGAAACUAAGGUUAAACAAGUACAUGCUAGCAGAUUUGCUAACCUGCUAGCUCCAGG